AGCGAACGCUGGCGGCAGGCCUAACACAUGCAAGUCGAACGAACUCUUCGGAGUUAGUGGCGGAUGGGGGUGUAACACGUGGGAAGGGGCAUUUAGGUUCGGAAUAACUCAGGGAAACGUGUGAUAAUACCGAAUGUGCCCUUCGGGGGAAAGAUUUAUCGCGUUUGGAGCGGCACGCGUCUGAUUAGCUAGUUGGUGAGGUAAAAGCUCAUCAAGGCGACGAUCAGUAGCUGGUUUGAGAGGCUGAUCAGCCACACUGGGACUGAGACGCGGCCCAAACUCCUACGCGAGGCGCGAGAGGGUAAUCUAGCGCAAUCGGCUAAGUGCUGACGCAGCCAUGCUGCUUGAAUGAUGAAGUUCGUAAGAUUGUAAAAUUCUUUCACCGGGGACGAUAAUGACGGUACCCGGAGAAGAAGCCCCGGCUAACUUCGUG
rnacentral:rRNA from 1 species